AGUGAACGCUGGCGGUAGGCCUAACACAUGCAAGUCGAACGGCAGCACAGUAAGAGCUUGCUCUUACGGGUGGCGAGUGGCGGACGGGUGAGGAAUACAUCGGAAUCUACUUUUUCGUUGGGGAUAACGUAGGGAAACUUACGCUAAUACCGCAUACGACCUACGGGGGAAAGCAGGGGAUCUUCGGACCUUGCGCGAUUGAAUGAGCCGAUGUCGGAUUAGCUAGUUGGCGGGGUAAAGGCCCACCAAGGCGACGAUCCGUAGCUGGUCUGAGAGGAUGAUCAGCCACCCUGGAACUGAGCCAGGGUCCAGACUCCUACGGGAGGCAGCAGUCGGGAAUAUUGGACAAUGGGGGCGAGCCUGAUCCAGCCCUACCGCGUGGGUGCAGAAGGCCUUCGGGUUGUAAAGCCCUUUUGUUGGGAAAGAAAAGCAGCAGGUUAAUACCCCGCUGUUCUGACGGUACCCAAAGAAUAAGCACCGGCUAACUUCGUG
rnacentral:rRNA from 1 species